GAUGAACGCUGGCGGCGUGCCUAAUACAUGCAAGUCGAGCGAACGGACGAGAAGCUUGCUUCUCUGAUGUUAGCGGCGGACGGGUGAGUAACACGUGGAUAACCUACCUAUAAGACUGGGAUAACUUCGGGAAACCGGAGCUAAUACCGGAUAAUAUUUUGAACCGCAUGAUUCAAAAGUGAAAGACGGUCUUGCUGUCACUUAUAGAUGGAUCCGCGCUGCAUUAGCUAGUUGGUAAGGUAACGGCUUACCAAGGCAACGAUGCAUAGCCGACCUGAGAGGGUGAUCGGCCACACUGGAACUGAGACACGGUCCAGACUCCUACGGGAGGCAGCAGUAGGGAAUCUUCCGCAAUGGGCGAAAGCCUGACGGAGCAACGCCGCGUGAGUGAUGAAGGUCUUCGGAUCGUAAAACUCUGUUAUUAGGGAAGAACAUAUGUGUAAGUAACUGUGCACAUCUUGACGGUACCUAAUCCNAAAGCCACGGCUAACUACGUGCCAGCAGCCGCGGUAAUACGUAGGUGGCUAGCGUUAUCCGGAAUUAUUGGGCGUAAAGCGCGCGUAGGCGGUUUUUUUUAAGUCUGAUGUGAAAGCCCACGGCUCAACCGUGGAAGGGGCGCCCAGACGACCGUCCUGGAGCGACGUAGGGGGAACUGGAACUUCCGGUGGAGCGGUGAAAUGCGUUGAGAUCGGAAGGAACGCCCGUGGCGAAAGCGAGUUCCUGGACGUCGGCUGACGCUGAUGUGCGAAAGCCAGGGGAGCGAACGGGAUUAGAUACCCUGGUAGUCCUGGCCGUAAACGAUGAGUGCUAAGUGUUAGGGGGUUUCCGCCCCUUAGUGNUGCAGCUAACGCAUUAAGCACUCCGCCUGGGGAGUACGACCGCAAGGUUGAAAACUCAAAGGAAUUGACGGGGACCCGCACAAGCGGUGGAGCAUGUGGUUUAAUUCGAAGCAACGCGAAGAACCUUACCAAAUCUUGACAUCCUUUGACAACUCUAGAGAUAGAGCCUUCCCCUUCGGGGGACAAAGUGACAGGUGGUGCAUGGUUGUCGUCAGCUCGUGUCGUGAGAUGUUGGGUUAAGUCCCGCAACGAGCGGAACCCUUAAGCUUAGUUGCCAUCAUUAAGUUGGGCACUCUAAGUUGACUGCCGGUGACAAACCGGAGGAAGGUGGGGAUGACGUCAAAUCAUCAUGCCCCUUAUGAUUUGGGCUACACACGUGCUACAAUGGACAAUACAAAGGGCAGCGAAACCGCGAGGUCAAGCAAAUCCCAUAAAGUUGUUCUCAGUUCGGAUUGUAGUCUGCAACUCGACUACAUGAAGCUGGAAUCGCUAGUAAUCGUAGAUCAGCAUGCUACGGUGAAUACGUUCCCGGGUCU
rnacentral:rRNA from 1 species